AGAUGUUGAUGAUUUUUGACCGACCGUCUUCUCUGUGUGAAACGCUCGCGGUCCAGCUUCUCAUCCUCAUUGAUGCUUCUGAGAAACGUAUACAGUUAUGGCAUUCAUUCAAUAUUGAACUGCUAUGCGUCUUUAGUUCUCUUUAAUUAUCGAUCUCAUCGUCGUCUUUAAUUAAUAAGCUACGAACUUGAGAAAGACAAUCUUUCCAGACCCUCUCUUGCUACCGUCAAGUCUCCCCUUUGAGAUGCCAAGUCUGUACUUCGUGGAGAUUUUCGGUGGAUCAAGACCUACAAGUUUAUCUUUUGGGCACUCAUAUUCCAUGGAAAGAUGUAUUUCGGCAGAUAUCUCCCUUGGAAAGAGCCUCCCUUCAGUAUAACAUCUAUAAUAUUCUCGCCGACGAUCACUGAAUCCCCGUUGCAACCUCCCUCUUGCUUGCAGAUUUGGACUUCACUAGAAUUCUUCAUCAUAAAAAGACGACCGCAAACAUGAAGUCAAACCUCUACUCGUGCAAAAACAAUCCGAUUCAGCCAUUGAGAAUCAGUUUCAUUUACUACAAGAAACAAUCCUUAGGUGAUUUGGCAAGUAAGAGCCUAAUACUUACGGUUUGAAAGAUGGAGAGCUAAGGAACAGAUGAUGUACACCAUUGGCAUGAAAAGAGAGACGUGCUGUGGAGAUAUAGGGUCCUCAAGCAUCUGGAAAAAAAAACUCCCGGCUGAAGCAUAGAGACAAAGAGGUUAUUGUAUGUCUUCAAAAUCUCUGACUCUCCCUCGCUAUCCUAUACCUGAUGAAAUGUUUAGGCUUCUCAACCUCCAGGUUUUUUUUUUACCUAAAUAGACUAUAGUUUUCCAAUAUCUGAAUGUAAUCAACUUGAAUUUUCAUAAACAUUAUUGGAGACUUGACAGCAUCAGAAGCUCUUUUAAUGACGACUUGCAAGGCAACCAGUGUGUUAUGGCAACAGUUCAGAUGGAAGGGUGAUUUUAACUCCUAUGAAACAAGAAUAGGCGCACCGAGUUACCACUCACCCACUUUGUAUUUUGCAGGGAUGUCUCUAUCUGCCUAAGUUUAUUUGACGGCUUAGCCUACAAAUUUCAUAAUAGUUUACAGGUUUUGAUACCGAACCAAGGUUGUUGUAGCUACAUACGUCAAUCCUAAAAUGGUUGGAGGUUAGAUUUUCUUAUUUCAGACUUUAUCUACUGCUCAAGGAACCAAUAGGCGUGCAUAGGUUGGUAUAAUGGAUAUAUAGUUGAGCCCCCAUCAUCUUCAUUUACGCCUUUUUUUUCAGGGCGGUUAUUUGCAAACGCAACAUCUGAGACUCAUAUCUACUUAGACUCAGAAACAGCUGCAAAACAGUGUUAUUAUGAGAUGUAAAUUAUCUCCAACAAUUAAUUUGAUUAUUCUACUGUGUAUAAUUAUUCCCAGUACUCAUAGUGAUCUUACUAAAAGCUAUGAAACACAUUAGAUUGGCUACUGACGGCUCAGCAGCACCAACAAAGCCAACAAAGUUACGUCAUGGGAAGAAAAUUGAAACCCUCACCGUCUCAGAGCUGAAUGAAUAUGUCACCACAACACAAUUUCACGUGUCAUACUACUCUAAUUAUGUUGUUGUGAUGUGUGAUCUAGGCAAUCGACUUCCUUUGUAUUGGCAAAGUUAUGGGAAUUCAAACUGACAAAGGCUGGUGUUACAUUGGUUGCUCUAAGAAGCUUCUGCAGGGUGAAUCUUCAUUCACACGCACUGUUUGCACAAACCCAAAUGUUGUUGCUUCUCUCAGGUGCCGUGUGGAGUUGACCAUUUUAGAUGAAACCGAGGAAGCUAUCUUCGCGGCUUUUUCCGAGAUGAUCAAGCUGACAACGUUCACACUUCUGAAGUUGGGCAACACAUGGUUCAUUUUCAACUAAUCCUCCUAUAAGUUAACAAAUUUCACCUUUUCCUACUUAACAUGUUUACCAAAAAAAGAAAUUUCAUCUUUUCCGGUGGUAAUUUUUUUGAAAAAACAUUAUUUCCCAUAUUCAGGGUGGAGGUUUUGCUGAGCAGCAGGAUAACAAGUUCCCAUUUAAUCACUGAAAUUAUCAUGAAUACUUACAUUUUCAGCUGAAAUUGUUUUCUUUUUAAUUUUACAUCAAAGCAUCAGACCUUAGCGUCUUGAUUUUGGUGUUGAUGUAUAUUUUUCUAAUUGGAAUAUAUACUAAUUCGCUGACUAAUUAAACGUUUGCAAAUACCUUUAGCAGGGAAGAGAAGAUGGGCCCAAAGACAAUAUGCCUGAAGCCAUCUCACUUGCCUCAGCUUCUGCUAAGCUAGGCAACAACAAUGCGAAGGAGACACCGUGAGUUACAGACUGCACACUGGGGAACCUCCCUGAAGUUGAUGACUUCAUAUCGUAGAAUCCAAAGCUCAAGACAAUUGAGCCUGCUGCUAAGAAGUCCCGUACGGAAUAGGUGAAUAUGGAAACCUUAUUUUACCAUGUUGCUGUCGUUUUUUUAAAUCAAAUAAUGCUUUGGCACUACUGUUACGUAUGUUGGUUGAGUUCUUUGCACUACUAAUAUAAGAAUAUUUCGAAAUAUUUACCCUUUAA